CAAAGUUACCAUUUAACCCCCUCUAAAAUUAAUGAAUAUGAUGAAAAAAGUUGAGUGAUCAUGUUAAAACCAUAUAUGAAAUUGAGUGGUUUAGUUGAAACAUUAUGUAAAAUUAAGUGAUCGUUGUGAAACAAAUUAUAAAGUUGAUGAUUAUGGUAGAACAAAAUAUAAUUGUGGCCGAUUUAACCCUCCCAUUGGAGAAACCAGAAUAUCUGCACUUUGAACAAACUAGCCACUAAGCAGCAGCCAACGGCCAAGCAAAAAAGGAAGGCAGAGAGAGGUCUCAUACAUAGAGAAAACACUACCGCCAGAGCCGAGAAAAUGUAUGGAAACGCUCAAAAUCAUGCUCAAAAUUUGUUAUGGUUGGAGCUCAACUUCAACCAAUAACCAACUAAAUUUCAAUCCAAAUCAACACUAACAAUUUAAUAUGCUAAAUUGGGAUUCAAUAACUUAAUUAUAAUUUCAUUGAUUGAACUGAAAUUACAUAAAACGACAAAGAUAAACACAAAACAAAAAAAGUGGAAGACAGAAUUAGAGAGAGAACAGAAGAAGAAGAACUGAAAAGAAGGGGAGAUGAAGAAGAAGGAGAAGAAGAAACGGGAUGAGAAGUAGGGAGAAACAGGAAAGAAGAGGAGAGAAGCUGGCAAGAGAAGAAACUUACCAGAAAUGGAGAAACAUAGCAGCAGCAGCAGAAGAAGAACGCGAGAGGAAGAGGAAAGACAACCGGCAAAAGCCAAGAUACAAU
rnacentral:lncRNA from 1 species